UAUAAACAGUAAAACCUGGAGAGCAAAGAGGGAGGACUGUAGGUGGCUUAAAGAAGUAGUGCUUUUUGUCUCGAGAUCUGUGGUCAAACAAGACUGAGGUCACAAUGAUAGUUUUGUGAAGUGGCAUUAUUGGGAAUUUCUGUCGUCCAUAAGAAGGUUUAUUAAAUUCCAAUCCAGAGUGUCCAACUCCAUUGGAAGUUGAUUCCGACAUCCCAUUGGAGCUGAUUCAGUUUGGAGCAGAGUUGGUGGAUUGGACUGAAGGACCAGAGCUAACCGCAGUGGACCAGAGCAGUUUAUAGCAGACUGUGCAACCUGAUAGGGAGACCCUGCACCAAUCUGACCACUACAGAAUUAGGCUGGAUUUGGAGCUGUAGGUAAAGUUUUGCUUGAAGCAAGAAUUUUGAGUUUCCAGCAAGCCAGCCAGUGAGUAACAGACUCUGGGUUCUGCUAUACCUUGCAUAUGGGUUUUUUGUUUUUUCUUAAUUUCAUUUUAGUACUUGAUAUUUGUCUUUUUCCAAAUAGAGUUGUAUUUCCAAGGUCUCUUGUGUCUGCCUGAUGAGUGGGGAAAGGAACACUAUAAAAGAGGACGUGAGCUUUAUGUUCAAGUAGUUAGAAUGCGUAUAUAAAUUAAGGUUCUAGGUGGGGGCUCAAGCCAAACAUUCUCUUUAUUUUGAAAAGGUCCCCUUCUUGUAACCCAGACAGCCCAUUUUACUGCUAUCGCACAGUAGAAGGGUCACGACAUUGUGUCCUUUGACCUGUACCAACUAGAAGACAGUCUGCUUUCUGGUGGAUAACUGCAGUAUCCUCUAGGCCUAUGUUUUCAAGUCCAGCUUCUUGCCCAUUGCAUAGAACUCAUCAAGAGAAACAACUGACUGAUGUAACACCUGCGCAAGACAGUGUUGGAAACUUCCCCUCUUUCAGUCUUUCCUUACUCCUGGUGUCAGCUUAUGAAUUCUAGACAGGAGAUGAUUAGACAGUGACACUGUGAGAUUGAUCUUUAGCUGUGUUUGGUAAUUACAUGAAAAUGUCCAGAGAAGUUUCCCAGCCAAACUGGAUAUAAUUCAAGAUUCUUUAAAUAAGGGAAUUCUUUUGGUAGAGGUGCUUGAGAAAACACACUGAUGUGUUAUCGCCAGCAUCUGCGGUGGAGCAAGAACGCAGCACGAUGCCUUUGCAAGCUGUUGUGAGGGGUAAUGUAGCCUAACAAAGGAAACCAAGCAACAUGGAAAAUCCUGUGCAUUUAUAGUAAUUAAUUUCCCAGAGAAAACCAAGGAAGACUUUUGCCCUAUUUGUUACUUUUCUACCAGUGCCCUGACAAUGUUCCUCCUUCACGGAAAGUUUACUGUAUAUUUUGGGGAGAAGGGGAUAUUGUAAGGUGUAAAUAAUGAAGGAAAACAGUCCCAGGAUACUUUGAAUAUAUUGUUUGAUAAAUUUCCCUGCUGCAUGUUCAUUACGUAUUCACGGAUUAGUACUUGAACAACUGUUGAGUCAGCGAAAUAGCUCAAAAACUGCAUGUCUGAAUAAAUGAACUGACAAGUCUAUC